AGUCACGUGGUCUAAUGGUUAUGAUAUCUCGUUCACAUUAGUUGAACUAAUUCCGAGAUGGUUCCCGGUUCGAUCCCGGGCGUGACUA